rnacentral:lncRNA from 1 species
CAAUUCCUAAUUUAUUGCUGAAUCUUCGGGAUUAAUAUAAUUUGAAUAUAUUUUUACUAUUUUUCAUUUACUGAAGUUCUAUAUAAGAAUGUAGAUGCCAUAUGGCUGAUUAUGCUGAAUAAAAUCAUUAUUCCCUUAUGCUUAUCUUGGAGGUUUGAUUCCCUCGAAAUGAUCAAUUUUUCUCUUUCCCUUCCUCUUGAUAUGGU